GAUUGGUCGGUACUGAGCGUGAAGGCGUGUGAUUGGCUCACGUUGGGGCUGGCCUCCAGCAUGUUGUCCCCGUUCCAGCCGGAGAUCGGGACGAAGGGCACGGCGUCGGGGUUGUAGCCGAUCUUCUUGAUGUAGGUGCUCACCUCCUUGACGAUCUCCUCAUACCUCCUC